rnacentral:rRNA from 1 species
AUUGAACGCUGGCGGCAGGCCUAACACAUGCAAGUCGAACGGUAACAGGAAGAAGCUUGCUUCUUUGCUGACGAGUGGCGGACGGGUGAGUAAUGUCUGGGAAACUGCCUGAUGGAGGGGGAUAACUACUGGAAACGGUAGCUAAUACCGCAUAACGUCGCAAGACCAAAAAGGGGGACCUUCGGGCCUCUUGCCAUCGGAUGUGCCCAGAUGGGAUUAGCUAGUAGGUGGGGUAACGGCUCACCUAGGCGACGAUCCCUAGCUGGUCUGAGAGGAUGACCAGCCACACUGGAACUGAGACACGGUCCAGACUCCUACGGGAGGCAGCAUGGGGAAUAUUGCACAAUGGGGCGCAAAGCCUGAUGCAGCCAUGCCGCGUGUAUGAAGAAGGCC